GUGAAGAGUGCCUAUGGCAGCAGAAUAAUGGUCUCCCGGAGGCGUACAUAUCCUAAUCCCUGCAACCUGUGGAUGCUACUUUCAUGGCAAAAUAAUUUUGGAACACAAGGAGGCAGAAAGAACUGUGUCCCAAUGUUGUGAGAAGAGAAAGACACAAUGAACCACUGCUGGCUUUGAAGAUGGAAGAGGGAGCUGCAACCCAAAGAAUGCCUCUAGAAGCAGGAGAAGGCAAGAAACAGAUUCUCGCCUAGAGCUUCCAGAAAGGAGCACAGUGCCAGCACUUUGAUGUUAGCCAUUCUUAAGAAGUGACUCUCCAGGGGAGCUAAAAUCCAUGUAUUUGGGCACACACUUGAACAAUAUUGCUAGAGAAAUUUAAGCAAGAGCACAAAGGCACUACGUUGUCUGGGAUGAUGGAAGGAGCUAAAGUCUUCAGUGAAUGAAGGAGCAGGACCAGGAGCUCAAAAUACUUCUUUGAAGACAAAGAAGAAAUGAUAUUACCAAAUGGUUGGCUCAAAAGAACAGGGAUUUUGCAACAGAGAGAGUAUGUCAUGGUCUUGAACAAGCAAUGAAAGAAUCAUCUGAAAGGAAUGUGGAGAUCAGAGAAAAAUGAUGGGAAAGUUACCACAGCCUGCAAAUGAGAAAUGAUGAGAGCCUGCCUGGGUUUUGCCAGGACGAUUAAAUAUCAUUGAUGCUUCUGGUCUACAAUUAGUCAGAGAAGAGAUUAAAAAAAUGAUGAGUAUUCAAGAAGGAAAGUGUUUGCUUUAACAUAUGAAGAAAAGGAGCUUCAGAGUGGUGAUUAACCCCAGAAUUGUGUGGAACGGAUAUGGAAACAAGACCACAGGAGCAUCGAGAACUGAGCAGAACUGAAGGUGACAUGAAAAUCAGCUGCAAGAUUCACCUCAGGGUGAUAAUGGGCUGCAGGUGGCUGCAGGAAUCCCGGGACAUUCUAGGCACUGCCAUAUUUUCUUAGGGGCCAGUAAGGAUGGCUAUCAUCAGAUGUACCUGAUGAUACAAACAUGGGCUGUCUUGCCUUCUAGUAUUCAUUCUUGAUGAUUGCAUCCAGAGCUCACUUUGGAGGUGCAGAUCAACUCUUCUUCAGGCUCAUCCAUGCGACUUGAGUGGGCUCUCAUCCCCAUUCCCAGGGGCUUAUGACAAUCAAGGUUUCCACUCCUCCAUGGUCUCAAUGGUUUUUCUCCCCAUGGGAAGCACAUAAUCCCAUUAGAGGCCACGGGAAGCUUUUUUGUUGGGCUUUGAGGGAAAAAAGGCUUUUGCAGCCAAUGAAUCGAUCAAUGUGUACUUCAACCUGGAUUGUAUGUAUGCAUCUCCUAGAUUGGGCGGAUGAUGAAGUGAGGCUGGAAGUGCUGAGCAUCUUCCUACCUGGGAUGACUGGGCUGAGCAGGAAGCCUACCCCGGGGUUCCAGCCAAGUUGGAGCCUGUGAGUGUGUGGUGUAGUUUAACGCCCUGAUUAAAUCACUAGGAAGCCAUUUCUCUCUCUCCUCCCAGACCAGAUCAGACAAUAUGUUCCCUUAUUUCUACUAAAGCCCCAAUUGGAUUUUGUGUCUUUUGAUACUGAAAGAAUCUUACCACAAAUAAAAUAAUUUGUCAUGUGGCUCCUACAUAUUUAUUCAGUUACAUAAACUAACUAAAUAAAUGAAUAAACUGUCAAUAAUGGUAGUUCCUCAUCUAUGAAUGACUCUUUACAAAGCCUAUCUCGCUUAAUAGUCAUAAUAAAUACUGAAGUAGAUACUAUUUAUACCUUUUUUUUAAAAGGAAUUAAAUAUUUUCAGGGUUAUACAAAGCAUGAGUAUUGUGGGUACAAAUUCAAGCUUUCUAACUCAAAUUUGAAGACUUAUCCCCAGGAUACUUUUACAUCUUUAGCUAGUACCAUGUAUACCUCAAAAGCUUACAUUAUUUUUCACAUGUGUUAGGUUUUGAGGGAUAAUCAAUAAGGAGGGCAUACUUUCAGGCUUCUUAUUUAUAACUGUGAAAUUUAGAAAUUGAUGGAGUAGCAGAUUUCUCGGUAGGAGACAGCUGUUUUAAAAUGCCCCAUGUUUUUAUUAAAGUAAAAAUCUCAAAAAUUGUCUUUUAAAAAGUGGCUCUGGCCAAUCUUAGAUAAAACAUCAUUUACUAGACUUAGGAAUUUCCUGUAGUAAAUUUCAGAUUUACUUUUCGGUCUCACAUCAUCAAAGAGAUCAUAACCCUUUGUGCAAUUAUGGUCUUGAACCAAGGCCUAUUCUCUAGGUCACUGCUGUCAGGACUUCAAGAUAAUUGUUUCCAUUGCAGGAUUUGAUUUUUAAUUCCCCGGAUGUUCUUGACGUGGUUCAGUUCUUCAGGAAAUCAUCACCCUCAUGAGCCCUCCCUGCCACUUGCAGAUAGGGCUUUCUCCCGGUAAGUUCUGGAGUCACGGCAGAGCUCAAUAAGUCUGAUUGGGACCUCCUAUGAUUAU
rnacentral:lncRNA from 10 species